CCCGUUGAUCCCGCCGGACCCGACUGCUAUCAGAGUGGGACUAAGCCAUGCGAGUCAACGCAGCAAUGCGUGGUAUACGGCUCAGUAACACGUAGUCAACAUGCCCAGGGGACGUGGAUAACCUCGGGAAACUGAGGAUAAACCGCGAUAGGCCAAGGUUUCUGGAAUGGACACUGGCUGAAACCUACAUGGCCCCUGGAUUGGACUGCGGCCGAUCAGGCUGUUGGUGAGGUAAUGGCCCACCAAACCUGUAACCGGUACGGGCUUUGAGAGAAGGAGCCCGGAGAUGGUCUACUGAGACAAGGGCCCAGGCCCUAUGGGGCGCAGCAGGCGCUGAAAAUUCUGCAAUAGGCGAAAGCUUGACAGAGUUACUCUGAGUGAUGCCCGCUAAGGGCAUCUUUCGGCGCCUCUAAAAAUGGUU
rnacentral:rRNA from 1 species